rnacentral:tRNA from 1 species
GCAAAUAUGGCGAAAUUGGAAAACGCUGUCGGUUUAGGCCCGGCUGUUCUCGGCUUGCAGGUUCGAGUCCUGCUAUUUGC